GAGAGGUGUCCGAGUGGUUUAAGGAGCCGGUCUUGAAAACCGGUGAUCCCCGUAAGGGGACCGUGGGUUCGAAUCCCACUCUCUCC
rnacentral:tRNA from 1 species